UACGAAGGGUGCAAACGUUGCUCGGAAUCAUUGGGCGUAAAGCGCACGUAGGCGGCUUCGCAAGUCGGAUGUGAAAUCCCUCGGCUCAACCGAGGACGUGCAUCCGAAACUGCGAAGCUUGAGUACUGAAGAGGAUCGCGGAAUUCCCGGUGUAGAGGUGAAAUUCGUAGAUAUUGGGAAGAACACCGGUGGCGAAGGCGGCGACCUGGUCCUUUUACUGACGCUGAGGCGCGAAAGCGUGGGGAGCAAACAGG
rnacentral:rRNA from 1 species